CUAAAAGUAGCCAAUUGCAGGGAGGAUUGAAAAAAAGGGCACUCUGAUAGGACAAAAAUGGAACAUGGGAGGGGCCAAUACGUGAAUAAAAGCUGGCCACCCCAGCCAGCAGCAGCAACCUGCUGGUGUCCCCUUCUAUGCUGUGGAAGCUUUGUCCUUUUGCUCUUCACAAUAAACCUUGCUACCGCUCACUCGUUGGGUCCAUGCUAUCUUUAAGAUCUGUAACACGGCAAAGGUCCGUGACUCCAUUCUUGAAGUCAGCAAGACCACGAACCCACCAAACCCACCGGCAGGAACCAACUCUGGACAUAAUACCACAUGGCAAUCUCUGUUCUAAGCAUUGAUGUGUACAGGUUAUUUACUCCUCAUAAGAACACUGAAAGAUAAUUGCUACUUACUGGCUCCUUCUUAAGGUGAGUAAGCUAGAGACAGAUACUCAUGAUUUGCUCAAGACUUCAGAACUUGUCUGUGGCAGAGCAGAGAUGAGAAUUAAAUUUGCUAGCCACCAUUUCUUGGAAUUUAAACACAUUGGUAUGCCACCUCUUAGUAUAUGUAAUUAAUGACAUGCAGUUCACAGAAUUAUGUUAUUUAAAUUAUAUUGGACAGAAAUAAAAAAGUACGGUUGACGAACAACAUGAGCUUGAGCUGUGUGCAUCCCCUUAUAUAGAGAUUCUUUUAAUUAAAAAAAUCAGCAUCUGCAUUGAAAUGUGGAUCAAAAUACAGUAGCCACAGGAUGAAAAACCCGCAGAUAUGGAGGACUGACUUUUUGUGUACUCUGGUUCCACAGGAUUACUUGAAUAUGUGCUGAUUUUGGUAUCCUCUGGGGUCCUGGACCCAAUCUUUUGAGGAUAUCAAGGGACCACUGUAUUUUUAUUUAAAAUGACAAGAGUAGAGAAUAUAUGCAGAUAUAUCCCGAGGAACAUCUUUCAGAUUUUACUGAGAAAUGAGGACCUUAUCUGGACUUCACUGGGAGAAUUAUGAGUGGCCAGAGAUACUACAUUUUGAGCUGGAUGCCAGACCUUGAAAGAACUCUGCAUUUUUCAUUUUGAGAGAAGUCGGUGUGUUUUAUAAUGGGAGGAAGAUUAAAGCAGGUAUUUUGGCAUCAGAAGGACUGACCUUGACAGAGAUUGGUGAGAUAACAUUAUUUCCUUCUUUGGACCACAAGGAAAUGCUGUAUUUUUCAGCCUCAAUUGCAGGUCCUGAGAAGAGGAUUAGAAAAAGGCAACACAUCAAAAAGUUAAGAGGCAGAAAUAGCUUUUAUGUUGCUGGUAAAUUUAAUGAGAUCUUAAGUUUUUCGACUGGCAAGUCUCAUCUCUUUGAGCAUCUCAGUGAAGACUGUCAGAAAUCAUCAAAAUUCAACACAACAGAGUAAAAGCUAAUAGCAUUUUUGUUAUACCAAAACUGAAAGGAUUGGUAAGACUCAAAAUGAAUGCUAUUACUGAAAAUCUUCUUUUAUCUAAUUCUUUGUGCAGUGAGUGAAAAUUGAACAAAUACAUAUCCUUUUUAUGGUGUUAAAAUGAAUUCUGACACUAUUAAACAAAUAUUCUUUGGUCCUAAGACCUCCUCAAUACUUCUUUCACAAGCAGUAUUAUUAGAAUAUCCUAUGUGACUCUAGUUCAAAAUAUUCUGGCUAUCAUUUGAUUAUUUUCUGUGAAAUAAAAAUUCAGCACUCCAUUUUUUAAAAAAUACUGUGUUUUGAUGAAGAAGGAAGUUUUUGAGUGGUUAUCACAUUAGAGAAAUUUUUAUUGUAAUCAACCUUUGAUAAUUU
rnacentral:lncRNA from 1 species